rnacentral:lncRNA from 1 species
GCGCCGGGCGGUGGAACAGUGGCUGGGCGGCUGGGCUGCGGCACCUGCAGCGCUUCCUCAGCGGAAAUGCGGUGGAAAAUAGCGACACUGCAGUUCCAGGUGGGCUAGGGGCGUAGCAGACGGGAAGGGUGUUCACUGACGAGGAGUCCCUCGCAAAUCGUCCUCAGCCUCACACAGAGACAUCCGUCGGGCCUGCAGAAGCCAUCAGGCCGCCGUGCUGGAAGCUCCUCAAAUUCGCCUGUAGCUUAAGUCCAAGGGUGGUUAUAAAACCCAACUGUCAGGACAAGUUUGUUUUUUCGACAAUAUUCCAGCUCUGCCAGGCUGUAAACAAUGACUUUGCCUUAGAAGCGGCGGUUGAAUAGGACGCCUUUGCAAGAGCCGUUUGAGUUGCAUUGCCAAGUCCGAGCUUUUGAAGCUCCUCAGAAGUUGACUUGAAUUGCAGCCCGAACCGUAUCUUUUCCACAAAGGCUGGACACGUUUCAGGAAUCUGGUGCUUCCUUGGAGAAUGUUUUCCUCUCCCUGAACUGGAAACAGCUCUCCAUGCUCUACCCCUCUUUGUUUGUUCCCAUUAGUUGACACUGGCCUUGUCUGUGUCCCACAGAGCCCACCCUGUGUGUUGCAAGCCCACCAUGGGGCAGUAGCCAAAGUCACACAUAUCCUCUCUUCUGAUUACAACUCGAUGCCUCACCAGGACUUCCACUGGGACAUUUCGGAAGGAGGCUCUGGUUCCGGGUCUGCCCUGCAUUUGCCUUUUUGGGGCACCUGCUGCUAGGUUUGGUGCCUUCUGUGCCCCACAGCACCAUACAUUCUACCUCCAAGAGAACCCCCAUUUUAUUAUUUUUUUUUUUUUNCCCCACCAGGCUAGGAGCUCCUUAGACCACUGACCUUCUGUUGUUUCUCUGUGGGCACUGUCCUGGCACUUAGAAGAUGGUUGUGGAAUGAAUAAGUCCCUUUAGUAGGAAGGAAAGCUUUCCAAUGGUGAGGAUCCUUGGUCUGUGGUGGACCCCAGAGAACAGGUCAGACAGCAAGAUAAACCCAGAUAAAGUGUGAGGCGUCGGAAAUAAGUGGCUAGCAUUUUCUUAAUUAGAUCUUUUAUACACUGAAGUCACUCAGGCUAGGUUUUGAGCCAAAUAACUGAAAAUUACUGCUUGUCACAUCUCUCAGCCUUUCUUCCUCACCUCUAACCCACGCUUAUGUAGAUAUAAAUUACCCUGGGAAUUCUGGAACUGUUAAAUUAUUUAGAAUUUAUUUAUAUUCAAUUAAGUGUUUGUCAUCUUUAGCAACCCGCCCCUUUCUCCACUUAUUUCCAUGCAGAAUCAAUAAUGGGUACCACAGAGAUAUUAAUAUUGGGGGUAGAGUUUUAGUGAUCAUAGCUGCCUAAGUAUGAGUUUUUAUUUUUCAAAGGAAGGACUUUCUGCUCAACCUCAUCUCUGACAGUUGUUCAGUUAUAGGUGCUUUUAAAUUUUCAUUUCGAUAGUCAAAUGUGUGUUCCCUUUUCCUGCAAGGUUGUAUGCCUAUUUAACAAUGCCAUCUGGCAUUUCUCAACACAUUUUCAGACAUGUUUUAGGCCAUAAGGAAAGCAGACUUGCUUCUUGAUAGUAACACCUCAAAUACCCUGGAAUUCUGAAGGUAAGAGGAGUGGGCAUGCCAAACACAGCAUUAGAGUCCCCACUUCUCCUUCAGAUUUCUUAAAUUUGAAGCAAACUUCAAAUUUCAAUGUGAGCGAACUCAAAGUUCUCAGUUUUCUGAAACAAAAGGAACAUGAUUUAUUGACCUUAUUUAACCAGAGGAAACACAUGGUGCCAUUUAAUACUAAGUCCAGAUUUGGAUCACAUUUUGAGAGUGAGCAAUGUCUCUGACUAAACUAAGCAUCUCCUGCCGGAAAGGAGUCAUGCAAAGCUCAGUUUGCUCAACUGAGAGCAGAGCGGGCCAAAGUUUAAAAUUAUAUUCCCUGGGUUUCUACAGGUUAUUAAAAUAUUUGGCUAAAUGGCUGAAUACACUUAACUGAAAGUCACAAUAUUUUCAGAUACAACAUUUGGAAUUGAACUAAUUGUUCUUCUUUGGCUUCUCAAAUGGCUAGCACAGUCCUCUCAGAUACCCUUGGCAAUGGGCUAUGGACUUUGCAAAUCACAGACUAAUGGGGCACCAUUUCCAGGAAUGUUCAUUUUGCUAAGUGCCCUUUAACCUAAAAUGUCUUACAUUAAACAAACUACAUUAUGAAGAGAAUGUAAUAUUUGUACAGGUUUUGUUUGUUUGUUUUAAGAUAAAACAGGACAUUUUAAAGAAAAUUUUGCUCGCAGUGCUGGCAUCAUCUCUCCAAUUGCCUGAGGAUAUGUGUUCACUUUCCUUUUCCUUGAGAUUGGGAGAAUUUAAGAUGCUCUAACCUAAUAUGUUGAUCUCAGUCAGAGCUCACUAAAUGACUUCAAGAAAAGCUAGCCAGCCUUGAUAUUGGCUGUGUUUUGGUCUUUAUCAUUCUCCCUUUCUCCAUCUCCUAGGUAUGCUAACAACAAAAGGAGCUCAUCUAAAGCUCGUAGGACUUUGAGGACUAAGAGAAUAGUGCCAAACUAUUAUGAACUCUCCUUCCUUUCUUUCUCUCUCCCUCUCUCUUUUCUUUCUUCUCUUUUUCUUUUUCUCUUUCUUUCUUUUUUCCAACUGUCUGUAAAUGCCUAAGUAUUGUGCAUGAGGCUCAUGGUUUCAGACCAGGCUGGUUAUCUCAUAUUGGAUGUCCCUUUCCUGAGGGCACCAAUUCCCACAUAUGCACACUAGCUUUUCUUAUUCAGCAUCCUUACCCCUGACUCAGAGCUGUUCACAUAACUCUAAUCUCUCUACAGCACCUCUGGUUUCUCCUCCCAGCUUCUUUCUAUGAACUUCCAGCUGCUUCUUCUGCUGUUCUAUAAGGACAAGAGGUGAAAGCAUGAGGUUUUUUUCUGCUAAAAUUUGAUAUGCCAUUUCUGCAUUUCCUGAGUUGGCUAGAGGUAAAUAUAGUUCAUGAUGCCAUUUAAUAUAAUUUUUAAGCCCUUGUAUUUUCUUUAAUCUUUUUCAAUUAUUUCAACUACUCCUCCAGUUUUUGUACAAAGCUUGAUAAGACUAAGAGAAACUUUCUAUAAUAAAAAAAAUAGGACCAUGCUGUAAAAUUACUUAGAAUAGGAAUAGAGAUGAUAGUCUGAAUGAUGGAUAUAUUCUAAAGAUACUGUUAAAAACCUAACAACUGAUCCCACUCUCCCCAACAUAAGACAGAAGAAGGAUAGGAAGGAAAUAAGCAGGCCACUGGGAGAGAAAAGAAAGAUACUUACUUAACAGACUUCUCAUUAUACUUUAGAGAAUCAAAAGGCAGUGUCCAGGAAGAAAGCAGGACAGAGUGGAGAGACUCCUCUUUGGACAGAUUUAUGGUCCUCUCAUCCACUGAAGAUGUUAUUUAUGAGGGACAUGUAGUCAGGCCAGAAGAGAGUACAGAGGAUGCAUGACCAUGGACUUGACUCCAAACCUCAUCAUUAACUAUGGCACAAAUCAUGUUUCCCAUCCAAGUACACAGUAACUUAAUGCCGGGUCUUCAGGAGGUGUGCAAUUAAGUCGUACUGGCACUAGGCAGGAGUUUUAAAUUAAACAGACAUGAUGUAUAUUAAUGGCCUAAUGUGACAACAAAGGAGCAGUUUGGGAUUAUUUUCUUUCUCUCUCCAAAUGGGCUUUGAUCUGCGUGCUCUCUCAUGUUGCCAGGAUUAGUGUGCUGUCUAGAGGCUCAGGGUUAGAAAUGGACCGCCACUUAAGGACUCACUGUGUGGCUGUGGCUGCCACUCACUAAAUCCUAUUUCCUGUGUAGGGGUGGGACCAUCAUCAGUUCUACUUACAAUAAAGCAAACUCGGGAAGGCUUAAAAAAAAAAAUUUUUUUUUUUUUAAAGAGCGUGUUUCUGGAGUUCCUGUGUGGUGCAGCAGGUUAAAGAUCCUGCAUUGUCACCACUGUGGCUCAGAUUUGAUACCUGGCCUGGGAACUUCCGCAUACUGCAGGUGUGGCCGAAAAAAAAAAAAAAGACUGCGCUUCUAUUUUAUUUUAUGACUCCACUAUUUUUCAAACAUGUUAACAUGUAAGAAAUAAAAAUUGGAAUUAAUCUGUAUAAAAUCUAAUACUUGAAGAUGGCAUAGGUGCAGUAUAUCAAUAAAGUACAGAGACAAAAUACAGCUAUUUGGACUUCCCUUGUGGCUCACAGCAAAAUAUAGCCAUUUGAUUUAAAAAAAAACAAAACUGUCC